AUCUCUCUCUCUCUCUCUCUCUGUGUGUGUGUGUGUGUGUGUUUUGCACUGAUGUACAGCAAUAAUCUCGGUCCUGUGUAUCUGCAUGUUUGUACAUAUUCACAUGCUUUUUAUACACUGUUUUAAAUAAAGCCGUUUUUAUCUAUAAAUCUGACUCUGAGAGUGAAGAGCUCGUGUGGAACUGUUUUAUAUAUGAUCUCUUUCACAUUUAUAGUGUGUAUUGUUCACAAUGGAAACAAGUUUUUUCUUCUCUCGGGAUUGUGUUUAAAUGUUUGGUCUGUUAUUGUUUAUUAUUAUCAGCAUUGUUGAAGUCAAACUCGAGCAGAAGCGCAGCUGAGAUUCGCGGCGCGGCGCGUCUGUGCUCGGGUUUGAGUUUGAUCUCCAUAGCAACGCGAUCAGACGCGCGGCGCGGGGCCUCGAACCGAGCUCCAGAAUGUCGCGGGGUUUUCUCGAUCUCCCGGAAAUAACGAGCGAGAACUUUGAACACAGUCUCUCAUCUGAUCAGGUGUUAGGGGAUUUUUU